ACCCUCUCAGGGUCGCACCUGGAGAGUUUCCAGUACUCUACCAGUCUCGGCUGUGGGAAGGUAAGUGAAGCAGGGGCAUACCCAUUCCAUUCCUAACUUGGGCAGUGGCUAGCGAGUGGAAACAAUCUGCUACAAGG